rnacentral:rRNA from 1 species
CCUACGGGAGGCAGCAGUGGGGAAUAUUGCGCAAUGGGCGAAAGCCUGACGCAGCGACGCCGCGUGCGGGAUGAAGGCCUUCGGGUUGUAAACCGCUGUCGGGAGGGACGAAUCAAUGACGGUACCUCCAAAGGAAGCACCGGCUAACUCUGUGCCAGCAGCCGCGGUAAUACAGAGGGUGCGAGCGUUGUCCGGAAUUACUGGGCGUAAAGGGCGCGUAGGCGGUCCGGUAAGUAGGGGGUGAAAUGCUGCGGCUCAACCGCAGCCCUGCCUUCUAAACUGCCAGACUUGAGCGUAACAGAGGCAGGUGGAAUUCCCGGUGUAGCGGUGGAAUGCGUAGAGAUCGGGAAGAACAUCGGUGGCGAAGGCGGCCUGCUGGGUUACUGCUGACGCUGAGGCGCGAUAGCGUGGGGAGCAAACAGGAUUAGAUACCCUGGUAGUCCACGCCGUAAACGAUGGGUACUAGGCGCUGGGGGGAGCGACCCCGUCGGUGCCGUCGCUACGCAAUAGUACCCGCCUGGGAGUACGGCCGCAGGCNGAAACUCAAAUGAAUUGAACGG